CUCACCAUAGUUUAUGUAAAACCUCGACCUGCAAAAUCGAAAAUGGAAAAUAUCCUGGUGUGU
rnacentral:tRNA from 1 species